AGUGAACGCUGGCGGUAGGCCUAACACAUGCAAGUCGAACGGCAGCACAGUAAGAGCUUGCUCUUACGGGUGGCGAGUGGCGGACGGGUGAGGAAUACAUCGGAAUCUACUUUUUCGUGGGGGAUAACGUAGGGAAACUUACGCUAAUACCGCAUACGACCUACGGGUGAAAGCAGGGGAUCUUCGGACCUUGCGCGAUUGAAUGAGCCGAUGUCGGAUUAGCUAGUUGGCGGGGUAAAGGCCCUCCAAGGCGACGAUCCGUAGCUGGUCUGAGAGGAUGAUCAGCCACACUGGAACUGAGACACGGUCCAGACUCCUACGGGAGGCAGCAGUGGGGAAUAUUGGACAAUGGGCGCAAGCCUGAUCCAGCCAUACCGCGUGGGUGAAGAAGGCCUUUGGGUUGUAAAGCCCUUUUGUUGGGAAAGAAAAGCAGCAGGUUAAUACCCCGCUGUUCUGACGGUACCCAAAGAAUAAGCACCGGCUAACUUCGUG
rnacentral:rRNA from 1 species